UCGAGAAUCUUCGGCAAUGCGCGCAAGCGUGACCGAGCGACGCCGUGUGUGGGAUGAAGGCCUUCGGGUUGUAAACCACUGUCGUAGAGGAGGAAGUUGAUUGGGGUUCUCCCCAGUCAUUGACCUAUUCUAGGAGGAAGGACGGGCUAAGUUCGUGCCAGCAGCCGCGGUAAUACGAACCGUCCAAACGUUAUUCGGAAUUACUGGGCUUAAAGGGUACGUAGGCGGCGCUGUUAGUCGGGUGUGAAAGCCCUCGGCUCAACCGAGGAAUUGCGCCCGAUACUGCAGUGCUUGAGGGAGACAGAGGUAAGCGGAACUGAUGGUGGAGCGGUGAAAUGCGUUGAUAUCAUCAGGAACACCAGUGGCGAAAGCGGCUUACUGGGUCUCUUCUGACGCUGAGGUACGAAAGCUAGGGGAGCGAAGGGG
rnacentral:rRNA from 1 species